rnacentral:tRNA from 1 species
CUAAAAGUAAGUUAAUAAAACUUUUGGACUCAUACUCCAACUUUGAGUAAAUCCUUUUAGA